UCUUAGUGCAUGAUAAUUAAAACCUAAUGAAAUUCUUCCAGAUGGUCAGAUCAGACCUGAAUAAAGCAGCAAGUAUUGGAAGUUGGAUAUCUCUGAGAUUUUAUUGAGUGUAGCUUUCUGUUGACAAACUACCACUUAGGGAAAACAUAAUCUUGGAGAAAUGCAAAUCUGUUUAUUUCUUCAAAGUUAUAAAUUUUAAUCAGACCCAGCAGUAUUAAAUUUGUUCCGUCACUUUAUAUUAUGCCUUACUGUGGAAAAAAUAAACUUAGAAUCCUCAGCAGCUGGCUGGGCGUGGUGGCUCACGCCUGUAGUCCCAGCACUUUGGGAGCCUGAGGUGGGUGGAUCACGAGGUCAGGAGUUUGAGACCACCCUGGCCAACAUGGUGAAAAAGAUACAAAAAAUUAGCCAAGCAUGGUGGCACACGCCUGUAAUCCCAGCUACUUGGGAGGCUGAGGCAGGAGAAUCACUUGAACCCGGGAGGCGGAGGUUGCAGUGAGCCAAGAUUGUGCCAUUGCACUCCAGCCUGGGCGACAGGGUGAGACUCCAUCUCAAAAAAAAAAGAAAAAUCCUCAGCAGCUGUAUACAUUUCUCCAAACUUAAUUUCAUUAUUUGUCAUACAGCUAUAUUUAAAGAAUAUAACAUACUUGUUUAUUUGCUAAUUGAUCUUAAUAUUUUUCUAUAUUAAUAUACACUGUUGAAAUCGCUUGCAUAUUCCUCCCCAAUCCUAUUCCUCUACAUCCCUUCCCCAGGGAUAACUACUCUGAAUUAACAUUCAUUAUUCCUGUAUGUGUUUUUAUAUAGUUUUACUACAUGUGUAUAUAUCCGUAGACUGAAUAUAGUACUGUUUUGCUUGUUUGGGGCUUAAUAUAAGUGAUGCUAUUUUAUAUCUAUCUGCCUACGACCUGCAUUUUUCCCACUCGGUGUUAUAUUUCUGACAUGUAUUCAUGGUAAUAUACAAAACCCUGGCCUAUUUAUUUUUAUUACUUGAAUACAUCACAAUUUAUUUAUCUGUUAUGAUGGACAUUUAGUUUACUCUGAAAUUUCUUAUUGCAAGUAAUGCUGAGUUCAUCUUUCUUGUACAGGGGUCCCUUGCACAAGUCAUUUCUCUUUAAUUUUCUAGUAAUUACACAUUUUAUUUCUAUUCUUUUUGUGGUUAGCCUUAACUUCUUUUCUAAAAAAAGGACAUACUUUACUUACCUAAACAUAACUUUAAUCAGUAGCUCUACUCUCCUCCCUAGUUUUAGUAUACUUUAGGACUGGUCAUUCCCCUUCUCUCUUUACUCUCCUCCUAUGUCACAUAUUAUUAGGCAAUGUUUUAAUUUCACCUCAUUUUUAUAUUCCCUGAAUUCGUCAGUUUUUAUUACUUUGUACAGUCAAGUUUUUUCUAUUUUUAUUUUGUUUUGCUUUAGAUUUACCCAUAGGUUUACCAACAUUUUUUGCUCAAUUUUGAUUUUUUCACGUCACUACUUCCUUUUGGAUUCAAUUUCCUGUUUCCUGAAGAAUAUCUACUUUUUGUAGUCCUUUCAGAAGCGAUCUCUGAGAUGUAAACUUGUCUUUUUUUCUUUUUUCUUUGAGACAGGGUCUUGCUCUGUCUGCCAGGCUGGAGUGUAGUGGUGUGAUCAUGGCUCACUGCAGCCUCAACCUCCCGGGCUCAAGAGAUCCUCCCACCUUAGCCUACUGAGUAGUUGGGACUACAGGCACACACCACCACACUUGGCUGAUUUUUUUGUAUUUUUUGUAGAGACGGGGUUUUGCCAUGUUGCCCAGGCUGGUCUUGAACUCCUGAGAUCAAGACCCAUUUGCCUUGACCUCCCAAAGUGCUGGGAUUACAGGCAUCAAACUCCUGAGCUCAAGCUAUCCACUCGCCUUGAACUCCCAAAGUGCUAGGAUUACAGGCAUGAGCCACUGUGCCUGGCCUAAACUUGUCUAUAAUUGU
rnacentral:lncRNA from 1 species